rnacentral:rRNA from 1 species
UCGGAAUUACUGGGCGUCAAGGGCUCGUAGGUGGCCAACUAAGUCAUACGUGAAAUCCCUCGGCUUAACCGGGGAACUGCGUCUGAUACUGGAUGGCUUGAGGUUGGGAGAGGGAUGCGGAAUUCCAGGUGUAGCGGUGAAAUGCGUAGAUAUCUGGAGGAACACCGGUGGCGAAGGCGGCAUCCUGGACCAAUUCUGACACUGAGGAGCGAAAGCCAGGGGAGCAAACGGG